UACGGAGGGUGCGAGCGUUGUCCGGAAUCACUGGGCGUAAAGGGCGCGUAGGCGGCCUGAUGAGUAGGGGGUGAAAUCCUGCGGCUUAACCGCAGGGCUGCCUUCUAAACUGUCAGGCUUGAGCACAGUAGAGGCAGGUGGAAUUCCCGGUGUAGCGGUGGAAUGCGUAGAGAUCGGGAAGAACAUCAGUGGCGAAGGCGGCCUGCUGGGCUGUUGCUGACGCUGAGGCGCGACAGCGUGGGGAGCAAACAGG
rnacentral:rRNA from 1 species